CUACGGGUGGCUGCAGUGGGGAAUAUUGGGCAAUGGGCGAAAGCCUGACCCAGCAACGCCGCGUGAAGGAAGAAGGUUUUCGGAUCGUAAACUUCUAUCCCGGGUGAAGAUAAUGACGGUAGCCCGGAAGGAAGCCCCGGCUAACUACGUGCCAGCAGCCGCGGUAAUACGUAGGGGGCAAGCGUUGUCCGGAAUGAUUGGGCGUAAAGGGCGCGUAGGCGGCCUUUUAAGUCCGGUGUGAAAGUCCUGCUUUUAAGGUGGGAAUUGCAUUGGAAACUGGAAGGCUUGAGUGCAGGAGAGGUAAGUGGAAUUCCCGGUGUAGCGGUGAAAUGCGUAGAGAUCGGGAGGAACACCAGUGGCGAAGGCGACUUACUGGACUGUAACUGACGCUGAGGCGCGAAAGUGUGGGGAGCAAACAGGAUUAGAUACCCUAGUAGUC
rnacentral:rRNA from 1 species